AUCUUUUAUAGAAUUCCUUCAAACCAUAACAAGUCCAAACUGAAAACUUUAGUCUAAAGAUUUCAUUUUGGACUUGUUAUGGUUUGAAGGAAUUCUAUAAAAGAU